GGCUGGGUAAAGUUAAAAGGGGAGGGAAACAAAAAAAAAAUGGCACAUGUAAAAGCAUUUUUUUUAGAAAAUGUAAAAGGCAAAGGCUCCGAAAGCUCCUCCGCACCAAUUUUCUCUGAUUCCUCUUCUGCUCCGCCGCAAGAGCAGCUCCGAUUGUCCCUCAGGCGUGGACUAAGGCUCGACGACUAUGGGACGUAGGCAGGGACUAAAGGUUGAUGAUGAUUGGAUGCAGACGGUGCUUUGGUGGUGAGGGCUAGAUCGGUGCAGGUGGUGGUCGACUGUGUCUGUUGCAAAGGUCGGGGACUGACAGGGACUGAAGGGUGACGAAUGGUUUGCUGGUGCUGCACAAUCUCUAGGUGCAGGAGCCAUUCUAGUGAACCCGUGGAACAUCACUGAAGUUUCUAAUGCAAUUGGCCAAGCUUUGGAUAUGGAACCUGAGAAAAGAGAGAAGCGACAUAAUCACAACUUUUUGCAUGUGACUACACACACUGCACAAGAAUGGGCAGAGACUUUUGUGAGUGAACUAAAUGAUACUGUUGUUGAGGCGGAAAUAUGAAUUCGAAAUGCAACACCUGAUUUUCCUAAGAAUGAUGCAAUUAAAGGCUAUUUGCGCUCUAAUAAUUGAUUGCUCAUACUGGUGAAAGGAGGGUGUGAAUUCAUAUAUCUCAGCUUGAAUUGAAAUUGGUCCUUUUCUGCCUUUGAUUCCUCCAUUUUCAGGGACCCCCUGUCCUUUUCUGUUUGAUGAUAUUUGAAAGAAAAUGGUGAUUUGGUUGCUGUUAAAGUGCAAAGGCCCUUUGUUCUUGAGUCUGUAACAGUUGAUUUGUUCGUCAUACAAAAUUUGGGACUGGUUCUUCGCAAGUUUCCCCAAGUAGUUUUCUCAUGUAAUGGAUUUAGUAUUAAUCUGCUCCUUCAAAUACUUGCUUUCAAAGGGGUGAACGUAGUGUUAAUAAAAGAUUUUUUCCUCUCAAUCUCCAUUCUUUCUGUUAAUUCAUUUCAGAUCUCUGUAGAUGUUGUUGGACUGGUUGAUGAAUGGGCAGCCCGUUUCUUUAAGGAGCUAGAUUAUGUUAAUGAGGGUGAAAAUGAAACGUGUUUUGCUGAAAUGAUGAAAAAGGACCUUCCACAGGUUAAUAUUUUGAUCGGUCUUAAAGCAUUGGAUUGGAAGCUAAUUGCAUGAGGUGUAUAAAAAUUUCUUAAAAUGAUAUAUAUUGGUUUGCUAAAGUUACCUGAAUGGAGUAACUGAAUGAGAUAUGAUUGGUCAUUCCCUGAAUAGUUAUUUAUGUUGGUGAUGGUCAUUCAUUUUAUGGUUUUGCUUAUUGGUUUUAUUGAAGAUACGAGACUAUUCUAAGUAUGAAGUUGCUCUUGCUUUUUCUUGGUCUACUCUCCCUAAUAAAUCAGUUUUGUGGAACGUCUUUGCCACUUUUAGUGGCCAGUUCAGACAUUAUACUUGUAUAUUGAGAUGUCUUUCUUUGGAGCAAUGCUGCACAAAGUUUGUGGUUGAAGUUUUUAGAAUCAAAGAAUGUAUUUUACCAACUUUGUAUACAUUUCCUAAAUUGUACUGGUCCUCAAAAAUAUAUUUGUAUAAUUUUAAGGGUGUUUUAAGUAUAUUAAAUGAAGCGGGUUUGAAUUAAAGCAAUAAAAAAUAAUUAUAAUA